GCACACAGGAUAAUAAAACUUACCUAGAAAGCUGUGUAGAUAGCUUAUUACUCAAAAUGCUGUACAAGUUGUUUUCUGUCUCUGAUAUCAGCAUCAAUAUCAGAGAGCUGCCGAGUCUGUCACAAUGCUUUUCCUUGGUAUCUGAGCACCAGGGGCCUCCUGCAUACUUCUGGAUAUGUCAGGCAGAACUGAUAGGAACAAACAGCAAUGCUAGGAGCUAUCUGGAAGGUUGGUGAGUGAUCAAAGAGACGUCAACAGGGACAAACAAGGGAGAAAACCAAGAAUCAGGUGAUGAGAACAGGGGACAGAGUCAAGGUCAGUGGGCAUGUUAGACGAGAGGAACGAUCACUGAUGACCAAGUUACAAAACAACCUGCCGCAACCAGCUUUCUUCUGAAGGGUUAUUAAGACCUGAAAGGUAGGGUGUAAUGUUCAUCACUGCACAGAGUGGGAAACAGCAUCAUGCAAUGGUCACAGAAUCACCCACGUAAGGAUGCCUGCAGUCACUUCUGUCCUGCUACUACCUUGGUCUGUUCUGUGAGAAUGCUGUGUUCUUCGAAGAAAGUAGUGGUUGAUUGCUCCAUUUGAAGUGAAGAAAGCAGGCACCUAGAUCAUGUUCCUCAAAAUCUGCAAUGUGUAGGAGACAACUUGGAAACUGACUUUUUUCUACAUUUUACAGAAGUAUGUCAGAAAACAGUUUUUUCUUCUUCUAAAGAAAAUAAACUUAGUGGAAGAAAAUCUUUUCAUAACAGUUAUCUGGAAGUCCACUGUAAAAACUGGUGGCAUUAUAGCAGAGGUUUUCCAGGAAGCAAGUCAGUCCCAACAGCAAAGGCAGAAAGACUACCAUGGAGUGGCUGCCACAGACGCAGAGUGGUAGGUCACGAACACUGCAGUGAAUCAUAACGAGGAGAUCUCCUCUUGACUGUAUCAGCCACGUCAUUCCAGCCUCGUUUUAAGAACGCUCCAGCAAUAAGCACUGGCCUUGAAGUUAUCCUGCACUGCACUGACGCUGUAAGCCCUGGGAAUCUCUGCUGCUUGGGUUAGACUUUCUCAGCCCCAAGACCUACACUGGGGAUUCAAUCCUCUGCUACUGCAGAAAGAGGCCUCAGAUAAAAUUCCCUCCUUAUGUUACCCAUGUGAAAAAAGUAAUAAAGUUCUUCCUUUGAUAAAGUCAACAAGUCUUCUCUCCUUUCCUUCAAUGGAAUCACA